rnacentral:tRNA from 1 species
GCACCGUUAGCCGACAGGUGUGGCAACAGACUUUUAAUCUGACUGGGGAAGGUUCGAGUCCUUCACGGUGUACAA